GUGGGAGAAGGAGGAGGCGAAUCACUUAUAAAUGGCGCCCAAGCAGGACCCGAAGCCUAAAUUCCAGGAGGGUGAGCGAGUGCUGUGCUUUCAUGGGCCUCUUCUUUAUGAAGCAAAGUGUGUAAAGGUUGCCAUAAAGGACAAACAAGUGAAAUACUUCGUCCAUUACAGUGGUUGGAGUAAAAAAAGUGCUGUGAGGCCCAGGCUCUCUGAAAAAUCUUUGAAGACACGUGAGGAUAUUGUAGCCCUUUUUCCUGUUCCUGAAGGAGCUCCUUCAGUACACCACCCCCUCCUGACCUCUAGUUGAGAUGGAUGGGUGCCAGAAAGCGUCAACACCAAUUUGCAGAAACAGCGAGAACUUCAAAAGGCCAAUCAGGAACAAUACGCAGAGGGCAAGAUGAGGUGGGCUGCUCCAGGGAAGAAGACGUCUGGGCUGCAGCAGAAAAAUGUUGAAGGGAAAACAAAAAAGAACAAGCAGAAAACACCUGGAAACAGAGAUGGUGGCGGUACCAGGAAGACACCUCAGUCUCCUAGGAAGAAGAGAGCCUGGCUAGAUCCUACCAUUGAAAAAUGAAGAAACAUCCAUGAACAGAGCUGAAGUUAAAGUGAAGAUUCCUGAAGAGCUCAAACACAACAAUCUUAUCGGUAUGAAAAGUCAGCAGUCUCCUCUUGCUCUGUGA